rnacentral:snRNA from 1 species
GGCCACCAUGUUCUAUCUGGCUGCGACAUCUGCCACCCCAUUGAUCGCCAGGGUUAAUUUGGCUGAUCUGGCUGGCUAGGCAGGUGUCCUUCCUCCCUCAUUGCUCCGUGUGUGUCCCUCCCAAAACUGCGCCCUUGGUUAAAGAAGACGGCCUUCCCCGAAUAGAGAGGGGCUGGUCUUUGGUCGAGGGUAUACGAGUAGCUGUGCUCCCCUGCUAGAACCUCCAAACAAGCAGAUCAAUAAAAGUAUUAUUAUUACUAUUAUUAUGUUUUUGCUAUUACAUAUAUAU